rnacentral:lncRNA from 1 species
AUCCUACCCCAGUAAAACUUGCUCGUUAAUUGACUAAAAUAAUAAUUGCAAUAAUUAUUGACUUAAAUGGGCCAGCAUCCUACCCUAUGACGGAAUGCCAUGUGGGUCAAGUUAUAUUCGAAAUUGCGUGAGACUGGAUUGGACCGAAUCAUAUUCGAAAUGACGUGAGGCUGGUUAGAUCGAAUCACAAUUGAGACCCGUGGACGCUGCAUCUGUACGCUUUAAGUGAAUUGAUUUCGUAUUUCUAACAGCUCGAGCUUUUGGGAUUAAUAGUUAUCGCCAACGAUCCGACAAUGAUAACUUGGCUUGUUAUUUAUAAGUCUUUAAAACAAAGUAUAAUCCGAAUAAAAAACCUAAUAAUAACUAAAAUCUAAUUAUAACAUACUCUUUA